CUGGAUGACUCUGCAAAGGAGUUCCAAACUCUUCCCAGCUCCUCUGACUCUGAAUGGCUGUUUUCCAAGACAAAAGUUAGUUGAAAAGAGAGGUGCUUAAGAUAGGGAUGUAACUUCUAAUAAUAUUAAAGUAUAAAAGAAAAAGAAGCUUGGAGGUGGACUUGACCAUGGGACUAAUUUAUUGGAAACGCGAAAGCAUUUUAGCCUUUCUAAUGCAAGUAGGCAGACUGCAUCAUUGCAAGAGGCGUAUGCUGAAACAACACAAAGU
rnacentral:lncRNA from 1 species